CGGUUGAUCCUGCCGGAGGUCACUGCUAUUGGGAUUCGACUAAGCCAUGCGAGUCGAGANNNUUNGGCCCUCGGCUGACGGCUCAGUAACACGUGGAUAAUCUGCCNUUAGGUGGAGGAUACCCUCGGGAAACUGAGAAUAAUACUCCAUAGGCCUAGGAUGCUGGAAUGCACCUAGGCUGAAAGUUCCGGCGCCUAAGGAUGAGUCUGCGGACUAUCAGGUUGUAGUCAGGGUAAAGACCUGACUAGCNUACGACGGAUACGGGUUGUGAGAGCAAUAACCCGGAGAUGAUAUCUGAGACACGAUAUCAGGCCCUACGGGGCGCAGCAGGCGCGAAAACUUCACACUGUGCGAAAGCACGAUGAGGGAAUCCCAAGUGCUUGCACGUAAGUGUAAGCUGUUUUUCUGUCUAAAACACAGAGAGAGUAAGAGCUGGGUAAGACGGGUGCCAGCCGCCGCGGUAAUACCUGCAGCUCAAGUGGUGGCCGCUAUUAUUGGGCCUAAAACGUUCGUAGCCGGUUUAGUAAAUGCCUGGGUAAAUCGUGUAGCUUAACUAUACGAAUUCCGGGUAGACUGCUGAACUUGAGACCGGGAGAGGCUAGAGGUACUCCUGGGGUAGAGGUGAAAUUCUGUAAUCCUAGGGGGACCACCAGUGGCGAAGGCGUCUAGCUAGAACGGGUCUGACGGUGAGGGACGAAGCCCUGGGGCACAAACCGGAUUAGAUACCCGGGUAGUCCAGGGUGUAAACGCUGCUUGCUUGAUGUUAGUUGGGCUCCGAGCCCAACUAGUGUCGGAGAGAAGUUGUUAAGCAAGCUGCCUGGGAAGUACGGUCGCAAGGCUGAAACUUAAAGGAAUUGGCGGGGGAGCAC
rnacentral:rRNA from 1 species